rnacentral:rRNA from 1 species
GUGCCAGCCGCCGCGGUAAUACGUAGGUGACAAGCGUUAUCCGGAAUUACUGGGCGUAAAGCGCACGCAGGCGGCUGAGUAAGUCUGACGUGAAAUCUCCCGGCUUAACCGGGAGCGGUCGUUGGAAACUACUUGGCUUGAGGCGAUGAGAGGGGUGUGGAAUUCCCGGUGUAGUGGUGGAAUGCGUAGAUAUCGGGAGGAACAUCAGUGGCGAAAGCGGCACCCUGGCAUUAGCCUGACGCUCAGGUGCGAAAGCGUGGGGAGCGAACGGGAUUAGAAACCCCGGUAGUCC